GCAGUCGAGCGCAGGAAGCUGACGGAACUCUUCGGAGGGAAGGCAGUGGAAUGAGCGGCGGACGGGUGAGUAACACGUAAGGAACCUGCCUCAAGGAUUGGGAUAACUCCGAGAAAUCGGAGCUAAUACCGGAUAGUUCAACGGACCGCAUGGUCCGCUGAUGAAAGGCGCUUCGGCGUCACCUUGAGAUGGCCUUGCGGUGCAUUAGCUAGUUGGUGGGGUAACGGCCCACCAAGGCGACGAUGCAUAGCCGACCUGAGAGGGUGAUCGGCCACACUGGGACUGAGACACGGCCCAGACUCCUACGGGAGGCAGCAGUAGGGAAUCUUCCACAAUGGACGAAAGUCUGAUGGAGCAACGCCGCGUGAGUGAUGAAGGUUUUCGGAUCGUAAAACUCUGUUGUAAGGGAAGAACACGUACGAGAGGGAAUGCUCGUACCUUGACGGUACCUUACGAGAAAGCCACGGCUAACUACGUGCCAGCAGCCGCGGUAAUACGUAGGUGGCAAGCGUUGUCCGGAAUUAUUGGGCGUAAAGCGCGCGCAGGCGGCCUUUUAAGUCUGAUGUGAAAGCCCCCGGCUCAACCGGGGAGGGCCAUUGGAAACUGGAAGGCUUGAGUACAGAAGAGAAGAGUGGAAUUCCACGUGUAGCGGUGAAAUGCGUAGAGAUGUGGAGGAACACCAGUGGCGAAGGCGACUCUUUGGUCUGUAACUGACGCUGAGGCGCGAAAGCGUGGGGGAGCAAACAGGAUUAGAUACCCUGGUAGUCCACGCCGUAAACGAUGAGUGCUAGGUGUUGGGGGGUUUCCGCCCCUCAGUGCUGAAGCUAACGCAUUAAGCACUCCGCCUGGGGAGUACGGCCGCAAGGCUGAACUCAAAGGAAUUGACGGGGACCCGCACAAGCGGUGGA
rnacentral:rRNA from 1 species